GUAUGGGAUGUUCUAGAUGUCGUGUAGUGUGCAUAGAGAUUGUCAGUGAUCAAUAAGGGAUCAGUCACUCCUAAUAAGGGGAGCAAACAUGUUAUGUGAUCUCAUAGGUCGAUGAUUCUGAAAGUCUUUGGCCAAAGCAGAGUGAUAAUUAGAAAAAGAUUUUUAAUAUAUCAUCAACUGAAUCAUCACCUUUUGAUCGAGAUACAUAUAGAUAAGAAAUUGAGUUUGAUAUGUUUCCAUGCCCACAACUCAUCUGGAAUGUUGUUUGACUGAAGGAUUGAAUUACAUGA
rnacentral:lncRNA from 1 species